GAUGAACGCUGGCGGCGUGCCUAAUACAUGCAAGUCGAGCGAACAGACGAGGAGCUUGCUCCUCUGACGUUAGCGGCGGACGGGUGAGUAACACGUGGAUAACCUACCUAUAAUACUGGGAUAACUUCGGGAAACCGGCGCUAAUACCGGAUAAUAUAUUGAACCGUAUGGUGCAAUAGUGAAAGACGGCUUUGCUGUCUCUUAUAGAUGGAUCCGCGCCGCAUUAGCUAGUUGGUAAGGUAACGGCCUACCAAGGCUACGAUGCGUAGCCGACCUGAGAGGGUGAUCGGCGACACUGGAGCUGAGACGCGGUCCAGACUCCUACGGGAGGCAGCAGUCGGGUAUCUUCCGCAAUGGGCGGGAGCUUGACGGAGCAACGCCGCGUGAGUGAUGAAGGUCUUCGGAUCGUAAAACUCUGUUAUUGGGGAAGAACAGAUGUGUAAGUAAACAUGCACGUAUUGACGGUACCUAAUCAAAAAGCAACGGCUAACUACGUG
rnacentral:rRNA from 1 species